CGAUACAGGGUGACAGCCCCGUACACAAAAAUGCACAUGCUGUGAGCUCGAUGAGUAGGGCGGGACACGUGGUAUCCUGUCUGAAUAUGGGGGGACCAUCCUCCAAGGCUAAAUACUCCUGACUGACCGAUAGUGAACCAGUACCGUGAGGGAAAGGCGAAAAGAACCCCGGCGAGGGGAGUGAAAAAGAACCUGAAACCGUGUACGUACAAGCAGUGGGAGCACGCUUAGGCGUGUGACUGCGUACCUUUUGUAUAAUGGGUCAGCGACUUAUAUUCUGUAGCAAGGUUAACCGAAUAGGGGAGCCGAAGGGAAACCGAGUCUUAACUGGGCGUUAAGUUGCAGGGUAUAGACCCGAAACCCGGUGAUCUAGCCAUGGGCAGGUUGAAGGUUGGGUAACACUAACUGGAGGACCGAACCGACUAAUGUUGAAAAAUUAGCGGAUGACUUGUGGCUGGGGGUGAAAGGCCAAUCAAACCGGGAGAUAGCUGGUUCUCCCCGAAAGCUAUUUAGGUAGCGCCUCGUGAAUUCAUCUCCGGGGGUAGAGCACUGUUUCGGCAAGGGGGUCAUCCCGACUUACCAACCCGAUGCAAACUGCGAAUACCGGAGAAUGUUAUCACGGGAGACACACGGCGGGUGCUAACGUCCGUCGUGAAGAGGGAAACAACCCAGACCGCCAGCUAAGGUCCCAAAGUCAUGGUUAAGUGGGAAACGAUGUGGGAAGGCCCAGACAGCCAGGAUGUUGGCUUAGAAGCAGCCAUCAUUUAAAGAAAGCGUAAUAGCUCACUGGUCGAGUCGGCCUGCGCGGAAGAUGUAACGGGGCUAAACCAUGCACCGAAGCUGCGGCAGCGACGCUUAUGCGUUGUUGGGUA
rnacentral:rRNA from 1 species